UUUAAUAAUGACCAUGCUCAACAACCAGCUUGCUAGGAAAGCAGCAAUUUGGAAUAAAAGCUGGCAUGCCUAAAGUCUUUGGGAGGCAGGGGAUGCUUACUUCCUUUGGCUGCCUACAUGC
rnacentral:snoRNA from 1 species